rnacentral:rRNA from 1 species
CGAGUUUGAUCAUGGCUCAGGACGAACGCUGGCGGCGUGCUUCAUACAUGCAAGUCGAACGCGAAUCGGUAGCUUGCUACCGAGGAAAGUGGCGGACGGGUGAGUAAUAUGUAGAGAAUCUGCCCUAGAGAGGGGGACAACAGCUGGAAACGGUUGCUAAUACCCCAUAUGAGCGUACCUGAAAUGGUAUUCUUGAAAACUCCGGUGCUCUAGGAUGAGUCUGCAUCUGAUUAGCUAGUUGGGGG